CUUCGAGAGCCAGAUUUCCUUAGAUAAAGCUUGUGUGUAAUCUUCACACGUAACAUCAGCUUUCCAGAUACCACAUACCACUUUUUCAAAGUGCUCUGACAAAAUUAAAACACGUGAAGCUGGCAGCUCCCACUACAUUGCUGUGACCCAGAAGGGUAAAGGAAUAGCAUUACUACUUGUUAUUGGGAAAUCCCUAUAUACAUUGACCUCCCUCCUCAACGGACAGGCAAACCUGCAAAAAUGCUCAACCCUUUCUCGCAUUCGAAAAGGCACCCUCAACAUAACCUCUCGAAAUACUCAGCUUUAUUUCCCCCCCGACAAUACCUCAGCAAAUAAGCCACACCAAGAACAAGAGUAUCUCAUAUCAUCAGGGUCGAAAG
rnacentral:lncRNA from 1 species